CUGGAGCUUGCAGGCAGCUGCGGGCGGCGACAGUGUGGCCUGGGAGCGAGCCUCCCGCGGCAGCCGCCGCAGCCUAGGCGCCCAGCAGGGCGCACCUCCACUCCCAAGCUGAUGUCCCUGACACCCAGAAGACGCAGGGAGCCCGGGUCCAGGAUGCGCCAGUGCUUCUCCUGCAGCUCAGGGGAACAGCACCCCUAGCAGCACCCAGUCUCCCGGCAGAGGUUGCCCCGGCCACGCGCAGCGACGCGCCUGGGAGCCGGAAAACCAGCCGGGAACUCCGAGAUUCGAGUCACGGUGGCGCCGGGGUUGUUCCGCUCCCGCUCCCAUUGACCCCUUCCGAGUAGAUGCGCACUCGAUUGCCUGGAUGGGGAACAGCCUGCUUCCUUACAGGCUCCCAGUCCCUGAACUCUUUAUACCUGCCCUUGGAGAACGACGGGCUUUUAGGCCCGAGUCAAGCCUCCCUUGAUUAAUAGGAGCCGUCGUUCAUUUUAUUUUAAGUCUGUGUAUGCACCGUUUUGUUGUGCAAUGAAGCACCACAAGAAGCUGCGAAAAGUUCUUCUUCUGCGUUGAGAGAAGCAAUGACAAACUCAUGGUCCAAACCAGAAGAGUCAGAGCAUCAAGCUUAAGGGCUAUGAGGUGAAUGCACUUCCACCACCAUCCACUCCCCACCAUGAUGUGCUGUCUUGCCACAAGACCAACAAAAGCAUGGAGCCAAGCAACACAGACUGAAACCUCCAAAGCCAUGAAUCAAAAUAAAUCCUUUCUGUUUUUAAGUUGAUUAUCUCAGGUGGUGCUGAGAAUCAAACCCAAUGCCUCACACAUGCUAGGCAAACACUCUACCACUGAGGCACAACCUCAACCCUAUAGCUGUGAUUAUUAAGGAUGUAAAGAUAGAUUAGCCAGGUAGGCCACUGUAAUCACAAGUAUCCUCAAAAGAGGAAAGCAAAGGGGUCAGAGUCAGAGAAGGAGAUAUGACAACAAAUGCAGAGGUCAGAGACUUGAUUUGCAGAUGUUAUACUACUAGGCUUGAAGAUGGAGGAAGGGAACACUAAUUAAGGAAGUCACCAUCUAGAAGCUGCAUAAAGCAAGAAAACAGAUUCUCUCCUGGAGUCUUCUGAAGUAAUGCAGCCCUGCCAAGAACUUGAUUUUAGGACUUCUGACCUUCAAAACUAUCGGACAAUAGAUAUGUGUUAACAAUUAGUUUGAUAACUAACAAUAAGCUUCAAAUAAUAAUAUUAUCUUGAUAGAUGAUAUAACUCCCCUCAAAAUAAGCUCCAAAUCCCUAAUUUACCAAAACCAUGUGUAGACAUCAAUAGGAAACUACUACACCCUCUCUGUGUGCAUUCUCUUCUCUUUAGAGCCAUAGUCAGUUCCAGGAGUUCAAAAAAGAAAUAAAAGUCAAAAUGACUGUGAUUCUUUUUCCAUGUUCUCUUUUUUAGGAAAGACCUGAAAACAAAGUGAGUAAAACAAGCAUUCAUUUUCUCUCCUCCUCCUCCUAAUGAAAGGACUUACUUUGUUUGCACUCUCCAUUUUAUUUUGCACACUGCAGACACAAACAUUUUAGUUCAAUCACAAAGUCAAUAUAUUUUUCUACAAAUCUCCCUGAAUUUUCCUCUCCUCCUUUAUAGAGCAACCUAGUAACAUCCUCAUCUUUUCAUCAAGAACCCUGAAAAUCAACCCAAACUCCUCUCUCCCUAAGCCACCCUGUCCAGUUAUUGAAUCUUGCCAAUUUAUUUAGUUCCAUUAUUCAAUACUUAUUUAUUUAUUCAACAUAAUUCUUGAAUCUGUCUCCAGACCUUUAGCUUAGCAUAGCAAUUUAUGUCUCUCUUGGAUUGUUCUGCAAUGACUCUCUAAAAGUCUUGUCGUCAUGAAAUUACAAGGAAGGAGGUGGGAUUUCACUCUCCCUUGACCAGACUCAGAAAUGUUGUAGAUUAAAAAAUACCUAUCUCCAGUCCUGGGACCUCACAUACUAUGUUAUAUUUUUAAAUGAAAAUUAAUUCAUACAGUGCCUAGCCCCCAUUGAGAACAUAAUAAAUAUUUGUUUAAUCAUUAAGUAACCACAGUGAAAAAGAAUAUCAAACUCCUUAGUGUAUUUUUAGCUAAAUCAGACAGGAAGCAACAACUAUGAUUAUAGUUAUUAUUACCGUUUUUGUGUAUUUCAAGACUGCUUUCCCAGUCAUCUGCCAACUUCAUAAAUAUCGAGCUACCAGCAUAAAAUUUGCAUUAAAAAUACUUUUCUUAAGAUACACAUAUAAGAAAAAAAAAAGAAUCAUAUGUGAUUUAGACUAUAAUUUGCCUCCACUGACUGCUAUAGACUGAAUUGUAUCCCUUUCCUCAAAAUCCAUAUAUAGAAGCCCCAAUUCUCAAUAUGAGAGCCUUUGGAAAUGGGACCAGUAGAAGAAAAUUGUUUAGAUAAGGUCAUGAGGGUGUGGCUCUCAUGAGAUUAAUGCCCUUGUAAGAAGAAAACAACUGAAGGGCCACUCAUCUCUCUCUCAUCUCUCUCUCCCUCCUCCCUCCUCCCUCCUCCCUCCUCCCUCCUCCCUCUUCCCUCCUCUCUCCUCUCCUCUCUCCUCUUCUUUUCCUCCCCACCCCCACUCUUUCUUGUGGGAGGACACAGCCAGAAGGUACCAUUUAUAAGCCAGGAAGACAGUCCUGGCAUGCUGAUCCCAGACUUCUUUCUUCCCAAAACCAUCAGAAAAGAAAUGUUUGUUGUUUAAGAUAGCCAGACCAGGGUAUUUUAUUAUGGAAGCCCAAGUUAAUAUUCUCCCUCAACAUGGCUGAUAAUCAGUUGAGAACUAGAUCAAGGAAAAUGGUCUUACCCAAUAAAAAUAGUGACACAAAUAAAGAUAAGUUGUUUUUAA